CCUACGGGAGACAGCAGUGGGGGAUAUUGCACAAUGGGGGGAACCCUGAUGUAGCGACGCCGCGUGGGUGAAGGAGUGCUUCGGCAUGUAAAGCCCUAUCGGCAGGGAAGAAGCAAGACGGUACCUGACUAAGAAGCCCCGGCUAACUACGUGCCAGCAGCCGCGGUACUACGUAGGGGGCGAGCGUUAUCCGGAUUCACUGGGUGUAAAGGGAGCGUAGACGGCCAUGCAAGCCAGGGGUGAAAGCCCGGGGCCCAACCCCGGGACUGCCCUUGGAACUGCAUGGCUGGAGUGCGGGAGGGGCAGGCGGAAUUCCUGGUGUAGCGGUGAAAUGCGUAGAUAUCAGGAGGAACACCGGCGGCGAAGGCGGCCUGCUGGACCGCGACUGACGUUGAGGCUCGAAAGCGUGGGGAGCGAACAGGAUUAGAUACCCCUGUAGUC
rnacentral:rRNA from 1 species